rnacentral:rRNA from 1 species
AUUGAACGCUGGCGGCAGGCCUAACACAUGCAAGUCGAACGGUAACAGGAAGAAGCUUGCUUCUUUGCUGACGAGUGGCGGACGGGUGAGGAAUGUCUGGGAAACUGCCUGAUGGAGGGGGAUAACUACUGGAAACGGUAGCUAAUACCGCAUAACGUCGCAAGACCAAAGAGGGGGACCUUCGGGCCUCUUGCCAUCGGAUGUGCCCAGAUGGGAUUAGCUAGUAGGUGGGGUAACGGCUCACCUAGGCGACGAUCCCUAGCUGGUCUGAGAGGAUGACCAGCCACCCUGGAACUGAGACACGGUCCAGACUCCUACGGGAGGCAGCAGUGGGGAAUAUUGCACAAUGGGCGCAAGCCUGAUGCAGCCAUGCCGCGUGUAUGAAGAAGGCCUUCGGGUUGUAAAGUACUUUCAGCGGGGAGGAAGGGAGUAAAGUUAAUACCUUUGCUCAUUGACGUUACCCGCAGAAGAAGCACCGGCUAACUCCGUG